rnacentral:rRNA from 1 species
AAUCGGACUUAGUGAUCCGGUGGUUCUGCGUGGAAGGGCCAUCGCUCAACGGAUAAAAGCUACCCUGGGGAUAACAGGCUUAUCUCCCCCAAGAGUCCACAUCGACGGGGAGGUUUGGCACCUCGAUGUCGGCUCAUCACAUCCUGGGGCUGUAGUAGGUCCCAAGGGUUGGGCUGUUCGCCCAUUAAAGUGGUACGCGAGCUGGGUUCAGAACGUCGUGAGACAGUUCGGUCCCUAUCCGUCGCAGGCGUAGGAAAUUUGAGAAGACCUGUCCUUAGUACGAGAGGACCGGGAUGGACGUACCUCUGGUGUACCAGUUGUCCUGCCAAGGGCAUGGCUGGGUAGCUAUGUACGGAAUGGAUAAGCGCUGAAAGCAUCUAAGCGCGAAGCCAACUUCAAGAUAAGAUUUCCCACCGCAAGGGUAAGACCCCAGAAAGACUAUCUGGUUGAUAGGUCGAAGGUGUAAGUGCAGUAAUGUAUUUAGCUUAUCGAUACUAAUAGGUCGAGGACUUGACCAAU